CCGGCGCUGUGCCAUUUCUAAAUCCAAAUCAGCCGUGCCCUGCGUUGUUCAGAACCUGACCUGAAACUUGGGAGAUAGAAUACAGAUACCUCCUUCAGCCACCACUUGCAAGCGUUGUUGCAGACAAUCUAGGGUUUUCCACAAGAGUGGAGACCGGACUUGACCAGACCAUCCAUGACUCGCUUGUGCUCCGAGCAGGCCUUGGAGGACAACGCCACCAGCGACCCCAAGUCUGUUCCAUCUCUUAAGCUCACUUACAGGGCUCUAACCGAUGUGUCAUGCUUGAGCGAGUUCAAGACAUUGGAGAAGCUCGACCUCAGCUUCAACAAUCUCAGUUCUCUCGAGGGGUUGAAGGCAUGCGUCAAUUUGAAGUGGUUAGCAGUUGUACAAAAUAAACUGGAAAGCUUGAAAGGAAUUGAAGGACUUUCUAAGCUCACUGUGCUAAAUGCUGGAAAAAAUAAGCUGAGAUCAAUGGAUGAGGUCGGGUCCCUUCUAAGCUUACGUGCGCUAAUCUUGAAUGAUAAUGAAAUUAUCUCCAUUUGCAGACUUGAUCAAAUGAAAGACUUGAAUACUCUAGUUCUUUCUAGGAAUCCAAUCCGUGAAAUUGGUGAGUCUCUAAUGAAGCUGAAAUCUAUCACAAAGCUCUCUCUCUCUAAUUGUCAACUUCAGACUAUUGGCUCUACUCUCAAGUCCUGUGUUGAAUUGAAAGAGCUUCGACUUGCUCACAAUCAAAUCUCUACUCUCCCAGAUGAGUUAGCUCGAAAUAAGAAACUCCAGAAUCUGGACUUGGGAAAUAAUGUCCUUUUAAGGUGGUCCGAUCUGAAGGUGUUGACUUCACUAGCUAAUCUGAGAAAUCUCAAUCUACAAGGAAACCCUGUUUCUGAACAGGAGAAACUACCAAAAAAGAUAAAAAAUGCACUGCCGAACUUGAAGAUAUUCAAUGCUAAACCAACAGAUAAAUACACCAAGAAUGAGAACAGUGAGAUGGAUGAUAAAGUUGAUUAUUCAGUAAAUGCUAGUAACAAGCUUGAAGUUCCAAGGGAAGAGAGAAGAGAUAGCAUCAGGAAAAUUAAUUCCAAACAUCAUCUGAUGGAUGGCAAAGAUGAUCGGCUUGAUGAUGCUAAAGGUGUUAAUUUGAAGAAGAAAUUGAAACGGAAUAUGCAGGAAACAAAUGAAAAUGUCUCAGAAAAAGAAGUUUUAAUUUGUAAGGAUCAGAAAAGAGAUGAAAUCGGAAGAAACUAUGUCAAGGAUCGAAGUGAAGACAGUUUUGAUAAUGCUGAAAAUCUUGAUGUAGAAAAGAAAUCAAGGAAGAAAAAGCAGAAGAUUGGAACGCUGUCGCCGAAAGAAGUUGAACUACAUCAGGAGGUUGAAAAGAAACUAAAGAAGAAAACAAAGGUAGAGAAAGGUGAAUAUAAUGUUAUUGAUGAUCCAGAAGCUUCUUUUGUGGAGCUUUUUGCUGCUGACAGUGCAAGAAAUUCCAAAUAUGACCACGAAAAGAAGAUAAUUGACAUCACUACUCAAGACACGGUAGGUGGCUUAGUUACCUUCUCUGUAAAGAAAAAGAAAGCUAAACGCCAUGGCUCGGGCCCUUCACUCGAUUUAUACCCUACAGUUGAAAUUGGAAUGGGUGGAGCAUCAACAUGGGGCGAUGAAUGAUAAUUCUGCGCUGGAGCCAUGCAAGUGCUUUUAGGCUUCUGGGCUCCCAUGAUUCAGUUAAGGCACUAGCCAAUCCAACAUCACACCAUUCAUCGAUUUCACUCUGCUUGGAGAUUGAAUAGUUGAAACAGCCUGGUUCGGCUUUCUGGACAGCCUGGGUGAUGUACGGCCGGUGGUGGAUACUUGGUAUGUCGUCAAAUGAGUUGCAUUCGUGGGAGGAAUGCAUUUUGAAUUAACUUUUUUUUUUUUUCAAAAAUUUUAACAGGACUUAAGGUAUGGUUUGGUAAAUGAGAAUUUUGAGUUUUAAGAUAAAAUAUUAAAAUAUUAUAUUUUAAUAUUAUUAUUAUUUUGGGAUUUGAAAAAAUUAAAAAAAAGUUGAAUUAUUUAUUAUAUUUUAUAUGGGGAUUUCAGAAAGCUGUAAUGAUAAGAUUAGAAUUUUGAGUUAGAGAUGAAAAUUUUCUUGGACCAAACCGAACCUAAACAGAAGGGCUUUAUUUAGCCAAGCAUAUGGUUGAAUUGGUGAAAUUAGGAUGUAACAAUAGUUUUUCGCAA